rnacentral:rRNA from 1 species
UUUCUUUGCUGGCGACCGCGCACGGGUGAGUAACACGUAUCCAACCUGCCCUUUACUCGGGGAUAGCCUUUCGAAAGAAAGAUUAAUACCCGAUAGCAUAAUGAUUCCGCAUGGUUUCAUUAUUAAAGGAUUCCGGUAAAGGAUGGGGAUGCGUUCCAUUAGGUUGUUGGUGAGGUAACGGCUCACCAAGCCUUCGAUGGAUAGGGGUUCUGAGAGGAAGGUCCCCCACAUUGGAACUGAGACACGGUCCAA